rnacentral:rRNA from 1 species
AUCAACGCUGGCGGCGUGCCUCAGACAUGCAAGUCGAACGAUUAAAGCUCUCUUCGGAGAGUGUAUAGAGUGGCGCACGGGUGAGUAACACGUAAGUAAUCUACCUUUGAGUGGGGAAUAACAGUCGGAAACGACUGCUAAUACCGCAUAAUGCAGCGGCAUCGCAAGAUGACAGUUGUUAAAGGAGCAAUUCGCUUGAAGAGGAGCUUGCGGCAGAUUAGCUUGUUGGUAAGGUAACGGCUUACCAAGGCUACGACUCU